CACGUAGGGCGCAAGCGUUGUCCGGAAUUAUUGGGCGUAAAGAGCUCGUAGGCGGACUGUCACGUCUGCUGUGAAAAGCUAGGGCUUAACCCUGGCCUUGCAGUGGAUACGGGCAGACUAGAGGUAGGUAGGGGAGAAUGGAAUUCCCGGUGUAGCGGUGAAAUGCGCAGAUAUCGGGAGGAACACCGGUGGCGAAGGCGGUUCUCUGGGCCGU
rnacentral:rRNA from 1 species